GUCCACGCCGUAAACUAUGAGAGCUAGCCGUCGGCAAGUUUACUUGUCGGUGGCGCAGCUAACGCAUUAAGCUCUCCGCCUGGGGAGUACGGUCGCAAGAUUAAACUCAAAGGAAUUGACGGGGGCCCGCACAAGCGGUGGAGCAUGUGGUUUAAUUCGAAGCAACGCGCAGAACCUUACCAGCCCUUGACAUCCCGAUCGCGGUUACCAGAGAUGGUUUCCUUCAGUUCGGCUGGAUCGGAGACAGGUGCUGCAUGGCUGUCGU
rnacentral:rRNA from 1 species